rnacentral:rRNA from 1 species
GCGGCAAGCCUAACACAUGCAAGUCGUGCGGCAACAGAAAAAACUUAUGUUUUUUGCUGGCGAGCGGCGGUCGGGUGAGUAAUGUAUGGGGAUCUGCCCAGAGGAGGGGGAUAACUAUUGGAAACGAUAGCUAAUACCGCAUAAAUUCUCUUUUGAGCAAAGCAUGGGAUAAGUUUUUAUUAAAACUUACCAUGUGCCUUUGGAUGAACUCAUAUGAGAUUAGCUAGUAGGUGAGGUAAAGGCUACACCUAGGCUACGAUCUCUAGCUGGUCUGAGAGGAUGACCAGCCACACUGGACUGAGACACGGCCCAGACUCCUACGGGAGGCAGCAGUGGGAAUAUUGCACAAUGGGCGAAAGCCUGAUGCAGCCAUGCCGCGUGUAUGAAGAAGGCCUUCGGGUUGUAAAGUACUUUCAGUCGGGAGGAAGGUAAUAGAGGCAAAUAGCUUUUUUUAUUUGACGUUACCGACAGAAGAAGCACCGGCUAACUCCGUGCCAGCAGCCGCGGUAAUACGGAGGGUGCGAGUGUUAAUCGGAAUUACUGGGCGUAAAGGGCACGCAGGCGGUUAAUUAAGUUGGAUGUGAAAUCCCUUGGCUCAACCUAGGAACUGCAUUCAAAACUGAAUAACUAGAGUCUCGUAGAGGGGGGUAGAAUUCCAUGUGUAGCGGUGAAAUGCGUAGAGAUAUGGAGGAAUACCAGUGGCGAAGGCGGCCCCCUGGGCGAAGACUGACGCUCAUGUGCGAAAGCAUGGGGAGCAAACAGGAUUAGAUACCCUGGUAGUCCAUGCCGUAAACAAUGUCAAUUUGGAGGUUGUAGUCUUAGAACUGUAGCUUCCGUAGCUAACGCGUUAAAUUGACCGCCUGGGGAGUACGACCGCAAGGUUAAAACUCAAAUGAAUUGACGGGGGCCCGCACAAGCGGUGGAGCAUGUGGUUUAAUUCGAUGCAACGCGAAGAACCUUACCUACUCUUGACAUCCAUAGAAGUUUAUUGAGAAAUAAACGUGCCUUAGGGAACUAUGAGACAGGUGCUGCAUGGCUGUCGUCAGCUCGUGUUGAGAAAUGUUGGGUUAAG